UGGUAAAGAGGACAAGCGCUGCUUCAAGGGGCGUAUUGCUCACAUGCAGGUGUACAACACCGCCCUGACCCAGGAGGAGAUCAAGGAAGUCAUGGACCGUACCAGGGGGAUCGCGUCUGGACUAGUCGGUCACUGGCCACUAGAUUCCAAACAUGGCGCCCGUGACGUCAGCGGCUAUGGUAAUCACGGCGUGCAGUUCGA